UGGGAGGCUUUGAAGUGUGGACGCCAGUCUGCAUGGAGCCGACCUUGAAAUACCACCCUUUAAUGUUUGAUGUUCUAACGUGGACCCGUUACCCGGGUUGCGGACAGUGUCUGGUGGGUAGUUUGACUGGGGCGGUCUCCUCCUAAAGAGUAACGGAGGAGCACGAAGGUUGGCUAAUCCUGGUCGGACAUCAGGAGGUUAGUGCAAUGGCAUAAGCCAGCUUGACUGCGAGCGUGACGGCGCGAGCAGGUGCGAAAGCAGGUCAUAGUGAUCCGGUGGUUCUGAAUGGAAGGGCCAUCGCUCAACGGAUAAAAGGUACUCCGGGGAUAACAGGCUGAUACCGCCCAAGAGUUCAUAUCGACGGCGGUGUUUGGCACCUCGAUGUCGGCUCAUCACAUCCUGGGGCUGAAGUAGGUCCCAAGGGUAUGGCUGUUCGCCAUUUAAAGUGGUACGCGAGCUGGGUUUAGAACGUCGUGAGACAGUUCGGUCCCUAUCUGCCGUGGGCGCUGGAGAACUGAGGGGGGCUGCUCCUAGUACGAGAGGACCGGAGUGGACGCAUCACUGGUGUUCGGGUUGUCAUGCCAAUGGCACUGCCCGGUAGCUAAAUGCGGAAGAGAUAAGUGCUGAAAGCAUCUAAGCACGAAACUUGCCCCGA
rnacentral:rRNA from 1 species